GACGAACGCUGGCGGCGUGCCUAAUACAUGCAAGUAGAACGCACAGUUUAUACCGUAGCUUGCUACACCAUAGACUGUGAGUUGUGAACGGGUGAGUAACGCGUAGGUAACCUGCCUGGUAGCGGGGGAUAACUAUUGGAAACGAUAGCUAAUACCGCAUAAUAUUGAUUAUUGCAUGAUAAUUGAUUGAAAGAUGCUAUUGCAUCACUACCAGAUGGACCUGCGUUGUAUUAGCUAGUAGGUGAGGUAACGGCUCACCUAGGCGACGAUACAUAGCCGACCUGAGAGGGUGAUCGGCCACACUGGGACUGAGACACGGCCCAGACUCCUACGGGAGGCAGCAGUAGGGAAUCUUCGGCAAUGGACGAAAGCCUGACCGAGCAACGCCGCGUGAGUGAAGAAGGUUUUCGGAUCGUAAAGCUCUGUUGUAAGAGAAGAACGGGUGUGAGAGUGGAAAGUUCACACUGUGACGGUAUCUUACCAGAAAGGGACGGCUAACUACGUG
rnacentral:rRNA from 1 species